UGAUCGCAUGGUGUUCUGGGAAAGCCUUUGCGGCAUGGGAUGGGGUCGCGUCCUAUCAGCUUGAUGGCGGGGUAACGGCCCACCAUGGCUUCGACGGGUAGCCGGCCUGAGAGGGCGACCGGCCACAUUGGGACUGAGAUACGGCCCAGACUCCUACGGGAGGCAGCAGUGGGGAAUAUUGCACAAUGGGCGCAAGCCUGAUGCAGCGACGCCGCGUGAGGGAUGGAGGCCUUCGGGUUGUAAACCUCUUUUGUUAGGGAGCAAGGCAUUUUGUGUUGAGUGUACCUUUCGAAUAAGCACCGGCUAACUACGUGCCAGCAGCCGCGGUAAUACGUAGGGUGCAAGCGUUAUCCGGAAUUAUUGGGCGUAAAGGGCUCGUAGGCGGUUCGUCGCGUCCGGUGUGAAAGUCCAUCGCUUAACGGUGGAUCCGCGCCGGGUACGGGCGGGCUUGAGUGCGGUAGGGGAGACUGGAAUUCCCGGUGUAACGGUGGAAUGUGUAGAUAUC
rnacentral:rRNA from 1 species